CAAGUGUUUGGUUACUUAGAAAUAUUUUUCUUUAAUUUCAUUAUCAAUAUAUUUAUAUGAACUUUUUCUUUACAAUAACUUGAAUGGCUCUAAAUCGAUGACAACUUUUGCAUUUCAUUAUGGAAUGUUGUUACGAAAAUCAUUUGGUGGCAGGGUUGACUACGAAAUAUUGGACACAGAUCAAUAUUUUAGGUCAUCCGAAUAGUUUAUUAUUUUAAUUGCUAAAUAUAGUCAAAAAGUUCACAAAAUCUGAGGGACCAUUUUAGAAGGGGAUUCAAACAUGUGAUGCGUGUAAUCUAGCUAACUAUCUAGUAAUGCUUGCAACAAAAAACAUGGCAUUUAUGUCUCUAAUGCUUAAAAAAGUAGUGGAAGACCAAAGUCUAAAGAGUGAAAAUUCAAAACAGAAACAAAAUCCUCUCAUCUCUCAAUUGGCCUGAAAACCAAAACUGUUUCUGACAGUUUGUCAUUCUUUUCUACUUCCUAAACAUUGCGUCUUUUCCCUGAAAUUAAUUCACACCAAUAUUUUUCUGUCACUAAGAGGAUUGUUUUGAAUCUCAGAUGUCUUUAAGUGUCAAUUGCAAGAUGCUGUUGGGGCUAGACGUAUAAAGGUCUGGUUGUAAUUUAUGUGUGUUUGAGGCAGUAAUCAUUGCCUCAGUCUUUUGGGGACAUGGUGGUGAAGUUCAGGCUUCAGAAUUGUACGUUUUAGGUUUCCAGUGAUGCUCCACUGCAAAUACUAAUUGUGAGAGAGUCAAGCCUCCAAUUAAAACUGCAUUUAAAUGCUUCUUUUUUUGCCAUAGUGAGACCCAUGGAGGCUGAUGAUCUGCUUCGAGAAAGACGACCCCAGCUCCAUCACAGCACACGGCAGGAGUUCAGACAGCAGCCCAGAGCUUCAGCACACUACCAGCAGGGUUAUAGACCAAGACAUCCGAAGAGAGGAAGGUAUCGCCUCGCACCUCGGUGAGCUCUGUGCUUUCAGCAUAACCCAAUAAUUACCAGUGUGAGCCUGUAAAAACAGAUUAUGAUGCUGGCUUGACAAAGCUCUUAUCUAUCUAUCUAUCUAUCCAUCCAUCCGCCCAUCCAUCCAUCCGCCC
rnacentral:lncRNA from 1 species